rnacentral:lncRNA from 1 species
CCUGAGCUGAUAAAAACGCCAUUCUGGGCUGGGACCCCAGCAAUUCCUGCAAUGGCAGCUUUUCUCCUGCUCCUCUCCCUGACCCUCCUGGCCGGCCCAGCCUGGGCCGGCACAGGCCUGAUCCCCAAGGACCACAAGCAGGAACCAGCUCUCUGGCACCAGCAGCACCAUCAAGACAGCCGCUUAACGGGGGACCUGCUUGACCGGAAGGUGUCACCCCGUUUCAUCUGCAGCACCUGUCAAGUCAUCAUGACGAAGCUUAAAGAGCUGGUUGGGGACAAUUCUGACGAUAUGAAUGAGAUUAAGAAGGCAGAGAAGCAGGUGUGCAGCUCUGUGAGCUUCUAUCUCCGGUGGGCCUGCGAGAAACUCAUAAAGAAGUUCUUCCUCCCCAUCGCCAGAGACUUCUUAAGCGGCAAGAAUCCCCGGCAGGUCUGCGAGGACAUCAAGAUCUGCAAGCCUAAGAAAGGCCCUGAGGGACAUGGUUCAGAGGACGGGAGUGGACAUAGGGAGCCCAGGCUGCUCACUCUAGCCCAAAUACAGCACCAGGAUGCCGGGGAGAAGAUCCUGGAGUCUGAAUCUGCCCUUGAGAAGAGGACUCUGGAGGAAGAGUGGUCCCAGCCUGCCAAAAGGUCCCUUCGGAGAUACUGAUCCUGCUCAGAAGCUUCAGCGGUUCUGUCCAUGCACCCCCUCCCCCCCCCGAUCUGCCAACACCCCCACUCCAACUUGCAGCCCCUCCCCCUGGCUUUUCCAGAGAAUAAAAUGUCAUGAACGCACUGGGCUUCAGUGAUGGAUGUGGAGGGAGGAAACCUAAUGCUUUGGCAGGGCUGAAGCAGUGUCCACAGGUGCACCCGCCAGGGCAGGGCAUCAUCAUCCCUGCUGCCCCGAAGCCCUGCCCACCGCCUCUUUGGGUCCAUUCCCUUUGUCCGAGCUGCCAGGGUGGCCCUGCCCUGGGGGAGCAGGCAGGGCUAGGGCAACAACGGACAGGCUGGCAGGGCGGACACAGGUCAAGGCGCGUGCUCUUCCUGGAUCUCUCAUACCAUCCCCAGGAGGCAGGUCUUCUCAGAUCCAUUUUUACAGGCGGGGGAAACUGAGGUCUGGCAAGU